rnacentral:rRNA from 1 species
UAGGGAAUCUUCGGCAAUGGGGGGAACCCUGACCGAGCAACGCCGCGUGAGUGAAGAAGGUUUUCGGAUCGUAAAGCUCUGUUGUUAAGGAAGAACGAGUGUGAGAAUGGAAAGUUCAUGCUGUGACGGUACUUAACCAGAAAGGGACGGCUAACUACGUGCCAGCAGCCGCGGUAAUACGUAGGUCCCGAGCGUUGUCCGGAAUCAUUGGGCGUAAAGGGUACGUAGGCGGGUAAGCAAGUUAGAAGUGAAAUCCUGUAGCUCAACUACAGUAAGCUUUUAAAACUGCUCAUCUUGAGAUAUGGAAGGGAAAGUGGAAUUCCUAGUGUAGCGGUGAAAUGCGCAGAUAUUAGGAGGAAUACCGGUGGCGAAGGCGACUUUCUGGCCAUAAUCUGACGCUGAGGUACGAAAGCGUGGGUAGCAAACAGG